rnacentral:lncRNA from 1 species
UACAGAAGUGCAAAUACUGAAAUGAGGAAGAGCCCCGUUCAGCAUCACCUGCAGUGGGACUGGAGAUGACACAGGGUGCGAGCCCUCACUGCCACCACAGCCGAAAUGGCCAUGAACCAUUUUGGCUCCCAGCUGCUGCUUACAAGAGCUCUUAUCUGUCCCUGCAUUUUUCAGGUCACUUUGUGUGCGCUGGAGAAGGAGAAGAUUCCAGAGCUAGCUGCCUUGCAAUGGACAGAAACUUUAUGGCCGGCUUCCCCAAAGAGUUGUGGGAUGAGCAGUGUGGGAUGUGACUCCCACCUCUCUGCUGGAGCUUAAUCUUUGUACCAUGAGAAGGUGAGAGCUGGGAAAUUCCUGGAGCAAGUCUUGUUUCACCUUGGUCCUGGGUACAAGGCAACCAUGGGUGCAGAGUCCUCUUUCAAGUCCAUAUAGAUCUGUGCUUAUGACCCCAUAACUCACAUUUGGGGUCAGCAGGGAACAACGGGAAGGAGCCUGGUCUGUAGGACAAGUGUGCGGUGCAAAUUGGGGAGGGAACCUGGUGGACUUGGAGGUUUUGGUGGAGGUGCUUGGGGUUGGUGAGGGUGAGGUGGUGUGGGGUGGGGAGGAGAAGACAACUUUGGUGUUGUCCUUGCUGAGUCUCGGGAGCUGCCUGGUGGAUGAGGUUUGGGGUUGGGUGCCAGGCUGUGACCCCAGUCACUGGGGCAUGGAUCUACCAACAUAUUGAGCCAUCUGGAUUUGGGACAUGGUUGGAAUACACUGGAUCUCCAUAAAAUACCAGAAUCAUGGAAUCAUUUAGGUUGGAGAAGAUCCUUAAGAUCAUCAAGUCCAAGCAUCAAUCUAACAUGCCCAAGUCCAACAUUAAAGCAUGUCCUGAAGUGCCACGUCCACACAUUUCUUAAAUACCCCCAGGGAUGGGGACUCCCCCACUUGUUUGGGCACACUUUUCCCAUGCCUGCCCACUCUUUCCGUGAAGAAAUCCUUCCCCAUGCCCAGUGGUAUCCACUCCAGCUUUAUAAGAAGACUCACUGGUUGCCUGCAGCACUGCCUUGAUCCUGCCACAGCUUGUCCCCUCAUUAGUGACAUCUCAUGAGGAAUGGGACCCUCCUGGAGACAUUUCUCAGCCUUACCCAAGGUUCAACAAAAAACCUCUCUAAUAUUCUGGAUAUCUAUUUAGCAGUGUCCCAACAAGCCCCCUUUCCUUGUCUCCUUCUCUGUCUCUAACUUUUCCCCGUAAAUCUUCUUGUUUCGUGCAAUGUCAGGUCCCCAUGUGGCACGACGCCUCCCCGACGCUGGCUGCUGAGCUGACUUGAUUUCCUAUUUUUCUACCCCACUUAAAUGAUUUCUCCCUGCUCUCACCAUGACCCUUUCGGAUAACCCUCCUUAAUUGGGGUGGCAACACCAAGAUUCCUAUCAAAUCGAUAUGAGUGCAUUAAAAACGACCUUCAGUGAGAACACAUUAGCCAACUGUAAAGUGCUCUGUAGGGCUGUAAUGUAUUUUAUUUUUUUUUUUUUUUUUGUGGUAUAAAGCUUUAUACAAAGAAAAUUUCCAGCGCCCUUGAUGAGGGUGAUUGAGUUGAGAAUUAUAUUUCCGUGUAGGUAAUUGAACUGAGAGCACAGCAAGCUGGUACAAAGUCUGUAUAAUCAUGGAUUUUUCUGGGGGAGCAGUGUUUUAGGGUGGGCGUUGUACCCAUUCUUUCUUCUAGAAUUUAUUUGGACUCAGAAGUUUCAUCUGUUCUUCAUGCUGCUGAAUGCUUUGGCAGGAGGAUACGGGUUUAAUCUCUAUUUAUUAUUAAUACAACGUGAUGGCAGAAUUCAAAUCAACAAGGGUCAAGCCGCAGAGUCCUGCUUUUGCAAUUAAUUCCUUGUAAAUCCCCACAGAGCCUAUCGGGCACCCAUAGACAUAUUAAACAAUUAAGAGCUAUGCCCCGUAUUCAAGAUCUUGUCGGCCUAAGAGAGCCUGACCUAAUGAAGUAGCUGAAAUUCUCGUUCCGCUUCUGCCAUUUUAAUUAACAUUAGCGGAAAUAAUCUUAAUGAACUCAGCUAUUAAUCUUUCCUACCUGGCCUCAGACUCCUUGCUAUUAAUCAGCUCCACAUUAAUUGUUACUGUUCCUGGUGUGUUGGACUAAGAUAACUUGACCCCUCUCCUUCUCUGUAGGAAUUGAGGUCAUCGGUGACGAGUCCCACGAGCCCUUGAACCAACCCUAUCAAAUCUUAUCUUCAAGCCCAUUAUCUCCUUGUCCCCCCAUCCAAUCCCCUAGGAAAUGCCUUCACUUCCCUGAAAGUUCAACCCCUUUUUUUCCCCUUCAGCCUAAAGCUUUCCAUUGCUUCCCUUUGGGGUCAACCUUUUGGGACAAUGUCCAUGUAUUCCCUCCCAGCCUUCAUAUGGGGUCCUGGAGACCCAGGGGACACCCAGCUUGGGGUGGGAAUGGCCCAAAAUCAGUCCCCUGGUAUUUUUGUUCCAAUAUGGGAAGGAAGCUCAUGAAGAAGCCCAAAAAGUUGAACUGCACCACCUGAAAGGCCUCAUAUUUGUACAAAAUCCUGUACCUCAAAAUGGAAAUUUUGAUGGCAUGCUUGUUUCUACACAAUGGAGAUUUUUUUUUAGGCUGGACUUUUUUCUUUUUUUUUUUUUCUUUUUUUUUUUUUUUCCUGAGCUGGCUGAAAUCAAAAGAAAUGGGUUUAAACUUGUAUUUUUAGUCUUCUUUCUAGCCCUCUAAAGGGAAAAAAAAAUAAAAAGUCACAGGUAUAUCA